rnacentral:rRNA from 1 species
AUUGAACGCUGGCGGCAGGCCUAACACAUGCAAGUCGAACGAGUGGCGGACGGGUGAGUAAUGUCUGGGAAACUGCCUGAUGGAGGGGGAUAACUACUGGAAACGGUAGAUAAUACCGCAUACCAUCGGAUGUGCCCAGAUGGGAUUAGCUAGUAGGUGGGGUAACGGCUCCCCAAGGCGACGAUCCCUAGCGGGUCUGAGGGGAUGACCAGCCACCUUGGAACUGAGACACGGUCCAGACUCCUACGGGAGGCAGCAGUGGGGAAUAUUGCACAAUGGGCGCAAGCCUGAUGCAGCCAUGCCGCGUGUAUGAAGAAGGCCUUCGGGUUGUAAAGUACUUUCAGCGGGGAGGCGUUACCCGCAGAAGAAGCACCGGCUAACUCCGUGCCAGCAGCCGCGGUAAUUC